CAGGAAUGCCUGCGGCUGGCUGGCUUCUGAUAGGGCCCUCAUUCGGGCCGCUUCCGCCCCAGCAGGGCUGUGCAUGGCUCAGCGGCCGGCUGGCACUUCCCCAAGUCUGCUGCAGGCCCUCGCCGCCCGCCCACACUGCCCUCCUGACAUGGAACUCCCGCUCCAGGGCCGGGGGUCUCCAUCUCCCCAACAGGAGCCCAGCGAGAGAUCUCCAAGGACCUUGCUCCCACUCCCUGCCCCCACUCAGCAGCUCACUCUUCCUUCUGUCAGCCGAGCUUGGAAAGGAAUGCGCUCAGCUCCCGCAUGGCUCACUUCUGGGGGGCGUGGGGCGGGCUCAAGUCUGAAGACCACCGGAGGAGGCCUGGGAUUGAUCUACAGCAGCCUGCUCAUUCUCAGCCGGGAUAUGAGAAUUUGCAAAGCAUCGGAGGACACACAAAGUGGGGCACAGUGAAUGCACCCAUGACCCAAGACAGGAAAAUGAACUCACGGCUGCUUCCCGAGGGUCGGACAGGUUAGCCCAGUCACCGUGUCAAUUCUGAACUGUAAUUUGUACCGCACCUGGGAAUGUCUGUUAAAGGAACAUCUUCUCCUAUGCUUUUGGGGGGAGGGGCGAGCCCUUUUCCCCCAUAAAACCAAGUGCAAGGUGAUUUGAACUGUGCAACGCAUGUUAAAGGGAUGCCUGCUAAUCUACAAGGAAAGCCAGCUCGGUUUAUGCACCAGCAAAGCCGGCCAUUCCGGGGUGUCUAUAGCAGUCUGUGCAGCAGAAGUGGACACCAGGGGAGCACAGGUGCUACCACAGGGGCCGUGAGACGCCCUGAACCAGGACCUGCCCUCGAACCUGAUCUCCAGGGGUGGGGGCAGCACAGCAGCCCCCAAAAGUGUGACUGUGGCCAGCGGGGAUCUAAAAGCACAAAAUGGCAAACUGCAGACUCGAGCAAGGCAUGCCUCGUGAUCUGGGCUUCUCUAAGCAGCGCGGGAACCGUCGGGCCGCCCACCCCGUCGCCCCGCGCAAGUGUCCUGCCUGCGUCCUCUUGCUGGUCAUCAGCCGCCUUGGGUACGACACUGACCCUUCGUCAGCUGCGCUUCUGCCUGUUUGCGCACAGAGUGACAUCGCUGGCCAUGCGUGCGUCCGGGAGGCGUGGAGAGGUGGAAGAAGGCUGGGUCAGACACUCAGAGACCGGAUUCGUGUAGCUGUCUCACUCUGCUUUUACCAUUGCUCUAUGGUUAGCUACUGCUGCCCACCUCUUUCUGGGCCUAAUUUACAAAUUAGACUUUAUCCCAGGUGUCGUGUAUGAGGAAAAAGAGAGUAUUAUAACAAGUUGGGGGUAUUGUCCAUGGUUUGGGGCACCUGCUGGGGGUCUUGAACUUGCGGCUGAUGUAUUACUUGAUCAUCCUUCACCUGGAAAACGUGUUUCACAAGGAAAAUGUCCAAAGAAACUGAACAGCAAACACAGCUGCCUGUUUGUUUGUUUGUUUCAUCUAUUUGAAAGGCAGGGUUACAGGGAGAGAGCGAGGUCUUCUGUCCAUUGGCUCACUCCCCAGAUGGCCACCACAGCUAGGGCUGGGCCAGGCUGAAGCCAGGAGCCCGGAGCUCCAUCCGGGCAUCCCAUGUGACACCUCUUACCUUUCAAGGAAGGACUCACUUGAGUCACUCCAGGUGUGUGCCAAAGCCAAUCCAUGCAGAGGCGUGCCGCUCAUUACGGUGACUGCUGUGGCUUUGGGGACUAUGUGGAGCCCUGGCUGCCUCGCUCUUUGAAGGGACCAUUAUGCAGCUCUGCUUUUCACUGACACCACAGCAGUCACAGGGACCACACUCUUGUGCCCGCGGAGCGGAAAAAGUGAAGGCUGGCCGGGCGCUUCAGUCGCCCUGUGUCCUGCAGGACGCGAGCCCAGGCUUUCUCUGUUGAUUUCCUAGAGGCGUUGGUCGUUCCAUGAAUUCUCCACGAACCACAGAGUGAGGGGACCCUGUGUACCCUUCUCGGCCGCCUAUGUAUCUCAACUUCUACUUACAAGGCUUCGGUCCAGCGACCCUCGUAAACUGUUCCCAAGGCGAAUUUUACAAGUAGAGACUGAAAGUUCAUGUUUUCCAGAGAAAUGACACAGAAAUGACUUCAACCUCUAUUUUAAACUUACACGUGCACCCUGGCGCAGGUCAAUAAUUAAAAGUCUCACCUAUCAACGUGACCUCCACGUAAAGGAAAAACAAUGAAAGGUUUGCUUUCUUCUUUUCUCCAAGAUAACGUUUAUGGAGCAGAUUUAAUGGGACUUAAGUGGAACUCCAGAACCAAGGAGGACUUUGGAAAGCCCUCCGGAGUGGACUUCCUCUCCAGCAAUCAAACAGGAGCGCGGUCAGCCUUUGCAGUGGGCUCACCGUCUGCCCCUGCACCUGCUGCUGCUCGCUGAGCCCUGCGAGCUGCCCUGCUCGGGCUGAACACGUGGUCAGCCACACCUGGAUGCCUGCAGGGACCAAGAGGAAGCAACCCCCUGUGUGUGGGGAGAAGGCUCGGUGAAGGGGGCAGCGUUGCUUCCCCUGGGAGACGUGCAACUGAGAGGCGAGGGAGGUGCUUAAAGCUCCCAUACUGCCUUGCGUGGCGCUCAAUGCACCUGCCCGAGGAUGCCAGAGGGGUGGCUCCGGGAUUCCGAGGGCACUGGAGGCAAACCUACAGGGCUGCACCUUGCAACCACGGCCGGGUGAUUCUAGAUUGCAUGGCUGGAGUUAUACCUGCUCCCUUCCAAUGGUGCCUUGGAGAGUGACCUUCCUUUGGACGACUCCCAGGGCAUAGGGUGAGCUGAGAGGGAGAGUAGUGGGUCUCGGGGGACUCUGGAAGCCAGCAGGCUGGCUCUGGCCACCUGGGUGCACAUGGUCAACCUGGACUGAGCGGGCCAAGGCUGUAGGAGGUGACCAGGAGGUUCACGUCUUCAGGAAAUGGACCGGAUGGGAAGACGGAGCAUGUGUUGGUUUUAAGAGCAGCAACCAGAAGACUGGCUUCCCGCCUAGGAUGAGAACUUCUGCCCUCCAUCAACAAUGAACCGUGCUGUGACACCAGGGACCUCGUCACCAGCGGCUUUUGACUUUCUUUGAGACGCCACGGCUGUUUUUUUUAUGAUGUGACCGACACUGGUGGUCUUGAUACCAAUCAUACUGCAAACAACACUGACGUCAGGAGACACCGAGAACACGCAGCCUGGUGUUUUGUUUUUAUUCCACGUGCCCUUCGGCGUUGAGAUUUCACCAGGAGCCUUCGGAGUGACCCCCACGUGGCAGCCUGCUGCUCGGAGCCCCACCUGGCCACAGCAGGUGCACCCACACCUGAGGUUCAGGGAGCACACCUCCACACCAGGCCCAGGUGCAGCACCAGAGCUGGGGGUCCCCCGAAGCCUCUGCUCCCACAGCCCACCCGUGCACAUGUGAGAAUGGAGAGAGCCAAGUACGCUGUCCCCCAGCGCUGCCACAGCCCUGGGGCUCUCAGGAGGCCACACGUUGUGCUGGACCCGGCUCUGCACUUGCAGCCCUUCCCGCGUGUGGUGUCACACCUGGCCUCGCCAGGGCACCCGUGUCCUGCCGCCCACGGAAUAGAGCUCAGAGGCAAAGGGGAACUUCCGUUUGCUUAAUGCUGUGCUUGCUCCUCUUCCUGUCUCUGGUUGGGAAGUAAAGCAAAGCUCUUUUUCUUUUAUAAAUUUAUUUGUUUAUUUGAAAGGCAGAGUUACAGAGAGAGAGAGAGACAGUGGUCUUUUCAUCUGCUGGUUCGCUCCCCAGAUGGCUGCAGUGGCCAGGGCUGGCAAGGCGGAAGCCAGGCGCCUGGAACUCCAGCUGAUCUAUGCAGGUGGCGGGGGCCAAGCACUCAGGCCAUCGUCUGUUGCCUUCACAGGUGCAUUAGCAGGGAGCUGGAUCAGAAGCGGAGCUGCUGGGACUCCAACUGGUGCCCAUAGGGGAUGCCGGUGUCACAGGCAAUGACCCACCACAACUCCGGCUCCUAAAGCAAAGCUCUUAUGGCAGCCCUAAUGUGGAAAAACGUCAAUAGGCUAUUUGGGAAUUCUCACUAUGAGACUGAAAAGCAGAAUAGACGACCAGGAGCUGGAUGACAGGCCUCUCUCCGCAUGUCAGCCACAGGGCAUUUGCACCUGUGCAGUGGGAGAAGAGUCUACACAUUCCGAGAAAAGAGCCUGCAACCCAAGGAUCCCCUCCCCCACCAGCCUGCGGCGGAUCGCUCUCCAGCACGAGAGAACUCAGGGAACACGGGGCCCAGAAAGGAUUUUCUGCAAAAGGCUAUGAGCUUCGUUGUCUUGUUUUUAGUAACAAAAUCCAGGCAAUUAGAUGAAUCAACACUAACCAUGCCCAAAGGACCAGUGGCGGGAAACCAAUCAAAGUAAAUGGGGGGUGAAUAGUUAAAGACCCUUUGAAGUGCGUGACAGAAGAGUGUGGUUUUUUAAAAUCUUGUGUGUAACAAAUGCAAGGAAGGCAAAAACAAAGGUGACGGAGUCGUCAGAUGUCUCAGGGAUGCUGUGUGAAGCUCGCAUGUGUAUUUUUUUUUAAAGCUUCCAACUUCUAAGAUUCUGGAUCAACGCUCCCGGAGGGAGCUUUUCAGGAAAUAAUAUCGUGUGUAAACAAGAGCGUAUCGCAGGUUCAGCAGUUCCUCUCCCCUCACUCCACGUCCCCUUCCAUGCGCAGCAGGUGAGCCACGCGGGUGAGCUGGAAGAAGCGGGGGUGGCAGCCAGACCUGGGUGCACCUGCUCAGGCACUGGGGCUUUUUCUGCUAGAUAGUGUGUGGGGGGGUGUUCUUCACCACGAUGGUCGCCCUGAGGGAUCCCUUGUGAGGGUCAUGGCCCAGAAGCGCUCCCCCAGCCCUGUCCCGUGCGAGGCUGGGCAGUAGUCAGGACCGGCCUAAAACCUGAGCUCUCCUCUCUGUGUGUAGAACUUUGCUUCCGACCCUCAGACGCUGAUCUGACGAACAAGGCAUGUAAGGAACUCUGAUCAUUCUUCCGCCUGUUCAAACCUGGCCAGUGCUAACUUUUGCACCAAAAUCAACUUGGGAUCCCACGCCAAGUCCCUCUCCCGCCGCCCAUCCUCAGAGGAGCCUUGAUGAGCUCUAAGACUGGGGCCGGGGGCUUCAGGCCACCUCGCGCCCCCUCUCUGGGUACCAUCGCCCCUGAUCCGAAGGUCACAGUUCUUUCUGGAACCUUCCAAGGCCCUGCUUGCCAACCCUUGGUAGUUUGAGCUCUCAUAAAACGCCUUCCAAGAGAGUGGUGGGGUGGGGGCUUGAAUGUGGCAAUUCCGCCCACCUCGGUCAGCAGCACCGUUCGUGUCUGCUCACGCUGGAUUUGCGACUUCCUUGGGUUCUGUCUGCAAAUCGCUCUUCUUAGGAUCUCUGUGGCCUCAGGAGCAGGUGCCCCAUGUGGACACGUAUCCUGCACUGGAGAGCCACUCCCAUCAGACAGGGUUCUGGUCACUGAUUCUCUGCACUCUUAGCCGCCUGCCCAGGCGUGCCACCCCUUCCGCCAACUCCCUCUUGGCCGGCCCAGCUCCUGCUCAGGUGUCUCCUCCUGGGACUGCAUGCCAACGUCGUGGUCACCGCCUUCCCCAGGGGUCAGCACAUGGCCAAUUCUGCAUGCUGGGGACUGAGGAGGAGACAGCGGGGGGGGGGGUGGCUCUGGGGUCGUCCCAGCACUCAGACACUCCCAAGGGAGAGGCACCACCUUUCCAGGGUAUUAGGGGAGCGCUUGCAGCUCUCAGACAUGCAAGAGGCCCAGUCUGAGACCCAAAAAUAUCUGGGACUGGCAGAGCAGAAAGAUGCAAAGACCCAGGGCUGCAAACCUGACCCUCUCGUUCUGUUCCAUCCUAAGUCCCCUUCUUGUCUGCAGGCCUGGAAACUUCCAGAAAUGCAGGUUGUCAGCCUUCUUUGUACCUGCUGACCUGGUAAGGCUAAAGCUUGAGACGGGCCUGCUCUGAAUAUCUGCGUCCCCCCGAUUCACACACUGAAAACCCCACCCCCAAAGUGACGGAGCUAGGAGUGGGGUCACGGAGGGUAACUCAGGUCGGGGGUGGAGCCUCUGCGAGCGGGGGACUGGUGGCCUUGCACAAGGACCCCACGGAGUUGCCCACCUCCCUCUGCCCUGUGAGGACCCGCAGUGAGUAGGUCAGAGCCGGUCUCCACCAGGCAUGUGUCUAUGCCUCACCCUCCGACGGGCCAGCACCCAGCACGUCCCAGCCCAGGAGCUGUUGGGAAAGGACCAACUCCCGGUCAGCCGUCUGUGGUCACGCGGCCCAGGCGACAGUGGUCACGGGGCCCAGGUGACAUCCAGCCAGGCCAUCGGGGUCUCUAACUCACUGUUACAAACCCCAGUGGACACAGCUAUCGUGUUGCGGCUUUAUGCCUCCCCUCUCCAGAAGACGGUGUCGCGAUGGGCAGGACACUUUUGCUGUCUGUCAGGGGCGCCUGCACCCUGGUAGUCAGGGACAGGGAGCUCUGGAGGCUGCCUGUGAGCCGUUCAUUCCGUGGCGAGAGCUCCGGGCCGCCCCGCGGGGCAGCUAGACUUGGGCUGUGAUUCUGGUCAACUUUGGAGCUUGUGGAUCCUAGGUGGGCAGAGGGAAUAUCCUGGACCAGAGAAGGGAACGCAGGGAUCCAGACGCAGAUGGAACCCAGGUCAGAGGAACCGAGGGCCCGGAUCCGGACAGGAGCCUCCACCUGAUCCCAGCUGCGGGCGCUAGGGAAGUCGGGCCAGCGUGCAGCUGUGGGUGCUGGCAGGAUGCUGGGUGGCGUCCUCUGGGGCCAUGGAGGAACAGGCUGAAGAGCCGAGAGGAGAGAGCCCGCCAGACUCUCCAGGGCUGGCUGUGGUUACUAACCUGUCCACCGCAUGCGGUACCCGGUUACACCGCGCUCAGCCCCCCGUAGCGGUGUACAAUGCAGAGGGAAGAGGCGCCGCCCAUUUUCCAAGGACUCCUGGUCCCCGACCUUUCACUAGUGGCACUCACAGCUCCUUACAAGUAGCCCGAGACAGGGAGAGCCCCCUGCUCAGGCUGUCCGACUGUGGCGCCCUGGCUCCCACGAGUCAGCCUGGAGUCGGGGCCCUGUGUGCCACGACGGACCCUGCACCAGUGGGCACCCUCCACGUGCAUGGGGUGCGGGUGUGGGCGGAGCCAAGCCAGUGGCAUCUCUGCCCUUCAUCCAGUUCAGCCUCCUGACAACAUUCUGCUCCAAGCUCCUCCCUGGUGCUGGUGAGCACUUCCGGCAUCCACACACCUUGGAAGCAACUCCUCCUCCACGCUGUACAUGACGGACAGCACUGGUCCUAUCCUGCAGAGAGCUAGCAGACUGUGGGCACCCCAAACCUUGCAGAUCAAGCCUCCCACCACGCGGGACCAGCAGAGCCCCCCGGAACAACUACCUGGGCACAGCAGGUGGCCUUGGGGCAGCAGCUACCCUGGCCCAGGUUUCCACCCUCCAGCACGUGCUGGUCCUGACUUCAACAAAACCAUGGUUGCAAAGUUGCCUUCCAACUGGUCCUGAUGAUAUUUGUUUGAAAGACCUAUGUGGUUCUGAUGGAAGUCAACAGGUGUCACUCAUGUAUUUCUGCCUCCUAACAGCUGCAGCCCCUGGGGUCCGAUGGUGUCUCCGCUUCACAGGGAUUCGCAGAUCCCUGUGUGUGCAUUGGGGCCGGAGCCCAGGGCAACCGGUGCCUCUCACGGGCUGCAAGCCCUCAGCCCAACCAUUCACCCCAUCUCUUCCCCAUCCAUAGAAUGCGACAGCAGUUCCCACCUCUGUGGUGAUGAGCUGCGAGGGGGCUCCUAUGUGUGGAGCAUCCGGGCCAGCGCCCACACGUCGGGAGGAUGCUGGGUUUGGGUCAGGAAGGGCACGGCAUGGAGCACGUUGAUUUUACAGGAAUUCUGUGAUGGGGGCACGGAGGCUGUCUUCUGCUCUCUAGAACAAAUGUUGCUCACACCAAAACCCCGAGGCAUAAAUUAGCAGAAGAAAACCCCUGGAGGCCGUGUUUAUUUCAUAAAUAAUGUCUUUUAUUUAUUGCGUAUGGCUAUAAGGCGGCGUCCAUGGUCAGUAUAACUACACACAAUGCACUAGGAUAGUCCAGUUUAUUCUUGUCUCUGGCCCUAUAUACAGCGUGUACAGUGGAAGACAGAGCAAGAUAAGUUAAGUCUCUUGUCAUAUCACAAUAGCAAGAAAUAUAUUUAACAUCUUGAUAUCCAGAAACAAUACGUACCCAAAAAGAAAA